rnacentral:lncRNA from 10 species
AGACUUUCCUCUCUGAAGACAAGUAAACUGCAUAUUAAAGCGGACUGUGACCUCAUAGACUGAUGAAAUUUGAAACACUUAAGCUACAUAUGCUGCUUCUGGGUUAUGUGUUCUGUGUCAUAUCUUAGACAAUACAUCUUUGAUGAUCGAAAACAACAACAACCUGAUACAGUUCCUUGCAGUUCUAAAAGCCCAAUAGUCCAGAAUACAAAGUCUCUAUUAUGUUCUUCUCUGGAUAAAAGAACUUGUGGACUUUAUAACAUAAUCCAAGAAUGAAGAAAAAAAAAACAACCAAAACCUACCUUUAGGAACAAAGAGGGCACAUAGCAGGAAGCUGAAAUACAGAACGUCUUCUGAGAACACAGAGAACAUUUAGCAAAAAGUGGAAAAUCUGACAACACUGUACAGUCGCAGUCUUCCUCUCCAUAACAAUAAUUUUUUCUCCUCUCACUAAAAUAGAGCAAUUUUUAUUGUCACAAGCCCAUGUGUAUUACUGGCAAUAGGGAUAUAGCUGUAUAGGACACCUCCUUAAACAUCUCCUUUAUUUUAAGAUUCAGUUAGGGGGAAAUGACUAGUUUCCCAGCACUUUCUGGUUACCAUGGAUACCUGUCAUCCACAUCCAGAGCCUGCAGGUUACACUCAGGGACUCUUGCCAGCUCAUGAAUAAUAUCGCUGAAGCCCGCUGCCGCUGCGAUAUGUACACAUGUCUUCCCACUCUCAUCAUCAUAGUUGAUUAUGGACGGCCCCUGGUGAUGGCUCAGAAUGAUGGAGCACAGAAUCCUAUUUCCACUCUGGAAAAGAGAGUCAAAGAAAGCCCAUUAUGUACAAUCCAGUGUUCUUCUCUGUCUAGGCAUGUUAAGAUAAAAAUACAAAGGAAAAAAAGGAAAGAAAGAAAGAAAGAAAAAAGAUGAAAAGAGAAAAGGAAAUGGAAAAAAAAGAAUAAAAAUACACUCUAUCUAAGCUCUCCAACAAGUGUCCACUUGUCUCAAGUCACUGCAGAGAUUUUUGUCUCCCACAGGAGCUAAAUUGUCUUCCAUAACUAGUGAACGAAGGAUGGAUUGAAAUUAAAUACAGGUGCAAUGGACUGACGUCAGAGCUAGAGUGAUCGGUGGGCCACCUAGACAACAACUUGCUCAUUAGGUCUGAUCAUUUGUGUCCCCAUUUGCUGUAGAGGCUGACCACCAAGAAACUGACAGAGUUCAUCUUAAUGUUAAAGAAGUGACUAUGAUGAGUACUGAUUGGUGGCGCAGUGAUGCACUUAAAAAGCUUGUUUCGGGGUAGGGCCAAGGAGCAGGGGGCUGAGAAUUUGUCCCAGGGAGCCUGGGAAGCAGAACUGUCUGAGCAGAGGCUACAGUCUUGUAUCAGACUUCGUUUACAAAAACAAUUAAAAGAUAAAGUGAGAAUUUCCAGAUGGGGACUACAGAACAUUAUGCCUUAAGCACAGGGUCCCAUCUGAGUACCAGACCCUCUGUGGCUGCACUGGUUACAUAUCCAUAAAGCAAUCUCUGGCUACAAACUUUUUCUUUCUCUUCCUAUCAUCUUCCCUUUUGCGUCUUCUUCCUCCAUCCAUCUUUCCUUUGUCUAACAAUGAUUUUAAAUAACUUUGACCCAUUGUUUAUAUUCUAUGGCAUGCCUGUCCUUAGAAGUCAGCUAAAGUUUAGGUGAGCACACCUAAGCUUUCAUGCCUUUAUCAACUUUUCUAUGUUUGUUUCACUUCAUGCUAGUUAGACAUACAUCGAAGGAGUCUGAAAUACAUUUUAGAUAGUCAAGAGACACUUUUCUUUAAAAGCAGUAGCCAUUCAAUAAGGAAAAUAGAAGCAAAAAGAGUGUCAGCACAACAAUUCUUUUUUGUUUACAAUUUCCUGGAAGAGUAAAGGAAUUCAAGCUGUCAAGGUGGUUCAAAGGCCAAAACACCCUGUUCAUAGUUUCCCCUCUUGGUAGAAGAAGAAGCAUUAAGUGCAGAUGGAGAAAACAAAACCCCACACUCGUACUCUCUUCCUUUCGCCUCCCUCGCCCCUGGGGUGGAGUCAUUCUGGAAGUGGUAAACUGAAAUAGAGGCUGCUGCUUCUGGGAUCCUGCCAGCCAGUCCCAGGCAGCAGGUCUCUUGGUAGCUGGGGUACUGUUGACAGCCUCUCUGGAUAAGUAAAGACAGACUCCAUACCUUUACUCUUUUCCUUUUGUCCUAAAUUCUCCAAACAAUUCCUUUGUCUCUAUACCUGAAUCUCACUUAUAGCACCAUUGUUUGUAUUUUACUUUUCUUUGUAAGAAGAUCCUCCCAGGAAGAAUGGUGACAACUGUAUUUACUGUGUGAUCGUCUGGGCCUGGCACCUUUCUAAGCCAUUUCAUGUACUAACUCAUGAACAACAAUCCCACAAGGUUGGUACUAUUAUUGUCCUCAUAUUGUACAGGAGACAAUGAAGGCAUAAGGGAUUAAGAAAUUUGCCCUCUGUCACGGCUGAGAAUGAGCAGAUCCAGGAUUGACUGUGGAGGCAUUGGACUUCACCACUAUACUAUUCUGUCUGUGAUUAAAAAGAAUGGUCUAUUAAUUUGAUCCUGCAUGUUCAUACUGGAGGAACUAAAGUGAAAACUGUUUAGACCUACAUCAGUACCAGUGACGUGUGCCUCACCAACUGAGACCUCCUUUACAGUUAAUCUUUGGGUACUUUAAGAGUUUCUCCUAGUAAGGUUUCCAUGGUGCACCCUCAGGAGAAUUUCAGGGAGCCUUAGAAAACACUAGUUUGUAAGUCAAGGCCCUGGAUCACUUGCCUCCUGGUGACAGAAUUCCCUUCUUAACAAUCUAGACUGUGUGUCAGCCAAAAAUAUGCUUAGGCCUGGGAGGUAGGGAAAGUCACAGAGACCAGGAGACACUAGACAAGAAGAAAUGGGACUGUGGUCCAGGUGGGUCCUUAGGAAGAAUCGAGAGUAGGUUUACAUUGGGUAGAAAUGUUAUUAAAUAGGGAAAGAAACAGUAUUGUACAUAUCCUAUUCUUAAGGAGCUCUAGAAUUCUACACUGAGCUGCCAGAUGAUGAUUGUGAGUUUGUUUUUGUUGUAUUUAUUUGUUUUUGUUCAUGAGUAAUCCAUAACAUUGCCUUCAUGUAUUCUGAAAAUGAUUGGGAACUGAGUCCUAGUCGUUUUCUCUUUACCUGUCAUGAGUGGGGAGAGUUGGGGAAGCCUGACUCAUAAGAAGACUUGCCAAGAAGAAAGUCGAGUUAAUGUGUAAUAAUUUUGCUACGGGCAGAUUGAUAAAACAACAACAACAACAAUAAGAUCUCAAUAUCCUAACUGUAGACAUUCUAGGUGACCUUCAAAGGAGUCUAGUGGGCGAUUUAAGACUAGUUGCUUAUUUGCUAACAUAUGUCUAAGGAAUAUGUUCUAUGGUGGUUUCUUCUUGGCAGGAACUCCAAUCUCCUUCCUUCUCUUGAACACUGGGAUGUGUUUGCAUUGCUUGUCUUGUGAUGGUGACCAUAUAAAGCAGAGGCCAGUGCUUUAGCCUCUGUGUUGCAGCCGCUUAUCCCUCCUAAAAAGCUGGGAGGUUUUGUGAUGUGAGAAGAUGAUCCUGGCUCAUCGGUUGGAGCCAGACAUGUUAGACUAGAAUGGAGACAAAAGGAACAUCUAGAGUCUAUUCCAUGUGAAUGUUUGAGGGUUGAGGGUCUGGGGCUAACUAGAGAAAGAAACGUGCCUAAUAUCCCUGGCUUAGAAUCUGGACUGCCUUCAUGGUUAGCCCCUUUGGACCAAGCUUUUAGUUGGCCUGGACUCCAGAGGCUGCCAAGCCCAAAAGCCUGGGGCUGCCUCUUCUGGAGAGAGAGCAGAAGAUAGAAAUAGUGGGAGGGGGAAAAGGUACCUUUUUUUAAUAUACCAGAGCACUCUGUUCUUCUUAAUAAAGUCUGUCCUCCGGAGAAACUAGUUAACCAGAGCCUAAUCUACUGAGGUUUUAUCAGAGCCUAAUUGACCUUAGGGAAGAAAAGUGUUCAACUCCAUCUAGCUCUAGCUUUCCACAUGGGAGCAGAACAAUACCCAACUCCAGCCCACUCUAGCUAUCCUGUCCCACCUAAGAAGGGGAAAAAACAUCCUGAGAAUCACUUGGAAUAUUCACAUUCCAGAGGCAUAGGUUCACUAAAAGACAGGGACCAAAUCAUAGGACGAUAUAGUACAUUUCUCUUCCCCCCAUACUUCACCAUUACAUUACUAAAGCGCUAUUUACAGGAGUUCCUCUUACCCACUACAUCAUGUCUGGCUAUCGAGAAAAAAUUAUAAAGCAUGCCAAAAGGUGAAUAACACAAUAUCUACAGAGCAAGCAUCAGUUCCAGACAUGGCAGGGAUAUGGGAAUUAUCAGAUAAAUAAUUUAAAGCAACUAUGAUUAAUGUGCUAAGGGCUGUAAAUGGAUAAAGUGGACAACAUGUCAGAACAGAUGGGCGAUGUAAGCAGGAAGAUGGAGAUCCUAAGAGAGAACAAAUAAUAAAUGCUGGAGAUAAAAAACACUGUAAUGGAAAUGAAGAAUGCCUUUGAUGAGCUUAUCAGUAGAUUGGACACAGCUGAGGGAAGAGUCUCUGCGCUUGAGAAGAUCUCAAUGUAAACCUCCAAAACUGGAAAACAAAAAGAACAAAGACUGAAAAAAACAGAACAGAAUAUUCACAGACUGUGAGAGAACUACAAAAGGUGUAACAUACAGGCAAUAGGAAUACCAGAAGGAGAAGAGAAAAAGGAACAGGAUAAAUAUUUGAAACAAUAAUAACAACUGAGAAUUUUACCAAAAAAAUUGUUAGACACAAAAGCUCAGAGAACACCAAGCACGAUAAAUGCCAAAAACAACAAAAAAAAACAACAAAACAAACAAAAAACCCUAUGCCUAGGCAUAUUAUUUUCCAAUUACAGAAAACCAAAGAUAAAGAAAAAGUCCAGAAGGAAGCCAGAGGAAAAGAACACCUUACCUAUAGAGGAGCAAAGAGAAGGAUUACCUCUGAUUUCUCAGAAACCAUACAAGCAAGAAGAGACUGGAGUGAAAUACUUAAAGAGUUGAGAAAAGCCUCCCAUCAACAAGAAUUCUGUACCUUAUGAAACUGUCCUUCAAAAGUGAAGGAGCAAUAAAUACUUUCUUAGAUAAACAAAAAUUGAGGGAAUUUGUUACUGGUAGACCUGCAUUGUACUAGAUGUUAAAAGUAGUUUCUUGACGGGUGCGGUGGCUCAUGCCUGUAAUCCCAGCAUUUUGGGAGGCUGAGGCAGGUGGAUCACCUGAGAUCAGGAGUUCGAGACCAGCCUGAUCAAUAUGGAGAAACCCCGUCUCUGCUAAAAAUACAAAAAUUAGCCGGGUGUGGUGGUGCGUGCCUGUGAUCCCAGCUACUCGGAAGGCUGAGACAGGAGAAUCGCUUGAACCCGGGAGGCAGAGGUUGCAGUGAGCCGAGAUCGCGCCAUUGCACUCCAGCCUGGGCAACAGAGCAAGACUCCGUCUCAAAAAAAAA